rnacentral:rRNA from 1 species
CUGAGAGUUUGAUUCUGGCUCAGAACGAACGCUGGCGGCAGGCUUAACACAUGCAAGUCGAGCGCACCUUCGGGUGAGCGGCGGACGGGUUAGUAACGCGUGGGAACAUACCCUUUGGUACGGAAUAGCCUCUGGAAACGGAGAGUAAUACCGUAUAAGCCCUUCGGGGGAAAGAUUUAUCGCCAAAGGAUUGGCCCGCGUUAGAUUAGGUAGUUGGUGGGGUAAUGGCCUACCAAGCCUACGAUCUAUAGCUGGUUUUAGAGGAUGAUCAGCAACACUGGGACUGAGACACGGCCCAGACUCCUACGGGAGGCAGCAGU